rnacentral:rRNA from 1 species
AAUCAACGCUGGCGGCGUGCCUAACACAUGCAAGUCGAACGCGAAAAGAGCUUCGGUUCUUAGUAGAGUGGCGUACGGGUGAGUAACGCGUGGGUAAUCUACCCUUGGGUGGGGAAUAACUAAUCGAAAGGUUAGCUAAUGCCGCAUAAUACAGUGAUGUCAAAGCAGUAAUGUGCCCAAGGAGGAGCCUGCGUCUGAUUAGGUAGUUGGUGGGGUAACGGCCUACCAAGCCUGCGAUCAGUAGCUGGUCUGAGAGGACGAUCAGCCACAAUGGGACUGAGACACGGCCCAUACUCCUACGGGAGGCAGCAGUGGGGAAUUUUACGCAAUGGGCGAAAGCCUGACGUAGCGACACCGCAUGAGCGAAGAAGCCCUUUGGGGUGUAAAGCUCUGUCGGCUGGAACGAAAAAAUGACGGUACCAGCAAAGGAAGCAUCGGCUAAC